UGUUGGUGAGAAGCACGCGCAAGGCAUCCAUUUCAGGCCCCCAGAGCAGUCUGGCCUGGGGUUCAGUGUCACCAGGGAUAUUUCUUUGACUCUUUAGUGUAGGAGGGAGGCGCCGAGACAAAAGAAAGAUGAGAAAGCAAUGAGGGGAGCUUUUACUUGGGACCUAAUUCUGACCCACAAGGCAGAGCUUGUUGGAAGGACUGGAAGGCCAAACCCUAAUUUGAGACUCCAGGAAUGAACCCCAGGCUUCUCAUCACUGACCUUCCAGAGAACUUGCCACCUCUACAGCAGUCAAGAACUUGAGGAGUCCGGAAGCCACUGCUACCAGUUGAACCAAUGUUGAAUCAAGAAACACGCUCUUCAGCUGUGAUAAAGGAAUCAGGAAGUUGA